rnacentral:lncRNA from 1 species
UCGUCAACUACUACCCCAAGUGCCCCCAGCCGGACCUCACUCUUGGCCUCAAACGACACACCGAUCCCGGCACCAUCACCCUCCUCCUCCAAGACCAAGUCGGCGGCCUCCAAGCCACCAAGGAUGGCGGCAAGACAUGGAUCACGGUUCAGCCUGUGGAGGGAGCUUUUGUGGUCAACCUCGGGGACCAUGGCCAUGUGAGUGCAGCUCCUCAUCAAGUCAGCUGACUGUCUCUCUUUAUGAUCUCUUCAAAGAAGAGCCAGAAUCUAAAUCCCCUUUUUCUGAGGCAGUUUC